rnacentral:lncRNA from 1 species
AGGGUGGUGUGUUUACAAGUUUAGGGGGAAAAAAAUUAUAAGAGAGUAUUUGGCCAAGCUUUUUAAAAGUAAUUCUGUGCCUAAAAAUAAUUUUCGGCUCAGUAGAAUAUUUGAUAAUGGAGAUUUUAAAAUCUAAUUCUGCUUCUGAGAAUCAGAAAACUGAUUUUUCAUCCUCUAUAAGCAGAGGCAGAAAAAAACUGCUUCUCAAAACUAAUUCCCGCAAAAAUAGUUUUCUCACUUAAAAAAUUUUAUGAAAAUACCGAAAUUACCCCUAAACAAACAAUAUAAUUAUACUCUAACCUUUUAUCACUUAAUACUUUCAACUACCCUCCUCUCUCUCCCAUUUUACCACAGCCAACCUCUCUCUCCAAAAAAAUUCCCCUUUCCUUUCUUCUCUCCUCCAUCUCUUUCCUUUCUUCCUCUCCGGUGACACCUCUCUCCGGUGAAUCUUUUCUUUCCGGCGAACCUCCUCUCCGGCGAACCUCCAAAGAAGGUACUCUGUCACGCCCUGGACUUUAGUGGAAGCUCAUCAGUCACGUGUACAGACCCGCCGUAUACACCUCAACCCUCAAGUGUACACCAGGCGUCUACAAAUCAAUAUAGCAGAAAGGAUAAUAUCUUGACCAGGUAAUCAGAGCGAAACUAA